rnacentral:lncRNA from 1 species
UAGUCCACUUUGAACCGCAACAAAAUUACGAGCCAAUCCAAACACUCUACCACUCCCCGCUCUACAAAACAGGAGCCCGGGCAGGAACACUUUCAACCACAGGUCAUUCAACCAACUUCGUGGUGACUGUCCUCUUACCCUCCAAGAGGCCCAGUGAUUACUGGAUCGCCAAGGGGUCAGCAUUGCUCUGCCAGCUGAGUGAGUGACUAGGGGCCUCGAUGAUCCAGAGACCUUCCCUGAUGAUGAGGACGUGACCUCUGACCCCGCUUAAAGAUAGCAGCUGUGACUGGUAUUUCUCCCAUAGCCUAAAAUAAAGCCAUUUUGAGUUAUUUCUGUUGGGAAUCCC